UGGCGGACGGUGAGUAACACGUAGAGAACCUACCUUACACAGGGGGAUAACAGUUAGAAAUGACUGCUAAUACCGCAUAAGACCCCGGUACCGCAUGGUACAGAGGUAAAAACUGAGGUGGUGUAAGAUGGACCCGCGUCUGAUUAGGUAGUUGGUGAGGUAACGGCUCACCAAGCCGACGAUCAGUAGCCGGCCUGAGAGGGUGGACGGCCACAUUGGGACUGAGACACGGCCCAGACUCCUACGGGAGGCAGCAG
rnacentral:rRNA from 1 species